CGGGCGCAGACUUUCGAGCAACACCCGAGCCACGGCAGGAGUUAUCAUGAAGUUUCUCAUUUGCAGCGCUGUUCUCCUCGCCUUUGCUUUCGUUGGGUCCAAUGCUGGAUACCAUGGAUAUGGUGGACAUGGUGGGCACGGAGGUUAUGGUGGACACGGCGGCUAUGGUGGGCACGGCCAUGGCGGGUACAGCCACGGCAUCACGCACUUCUUUGACAACCAACGUGCCCAUCACGGACAUGGUGGCUACGGUCACGGAGGUUACGGCCACGGAGGAUAUGGAGGUCAUGGACAUGGCGGCUAUGGACACGGCGGAUACGGUGGUCACGGCUAUCAUGGCUAAGGCUUCGGUUGACACUUCUAUGCGGAGAAACCCUAGAAGUCGUUGUACAGUCUGUGCAUAGGAAAAUAAAUGCAUUUUGUCUCAAAA